GGGACUGCUCAUGAAAUCGCUGUUGCAAAAUUAUGUCUGGGAUAGUGAAAGAGAUCUGACCUAACCAUUUCCAUCUUGCUUCUAAACCUCCAAGCUGUCCUUGUUCAUUCCUAGGUACAAUUUUGGGAGGCACUUAGCUUACAGUUUAUAGUUUAGAACAAAGAUGAUAACAGUCCUUUCCCAAAACAAACCCCUUUCUUGCCUGGGGACUAGAGUGUCUUUGUAGACUAAUGAAUUAGUCAAAAGAUUAGAAAUUAUGGUUUAGGAGUCAUGCAGCUGGAGGCUACAAGAUUCUGACCCUCCCCAAAUUGCUCCUGGAGAUAGCAUCACUUUAUAAAGCCUGAGGUCAGCGCUUGAGAUAUUUUGCAGAGCCUGGACUUGAUGGAUCAGCUGGCACCACCCAGAUCCAUAAAUUGGCUCAUCUGAUCUUGUGGCCCCCAUCCAUCUGUGUUCUUGUGGAAUUCACCCAGAAUCACCAGUGAUUUUUAGUAUAAAUACGGCAGAGCUGGAAACCUGGAAAAUAGAACAAAAUGAAUGGAUUGGUUAUCCUACCGCUGAAGCAAUCAAAACAGCACAACUUGGGAAGAGAAAAUUUAGGGUUCACAAUUGUUUUUAGUUCUGUAAUUAAGCCAAUCAUUCGAACACAAAUAUGUUAUUUAAAAAUAAAAACCAUUUCCCUAGCUUUUAUCAGUAGACUCGUAACUUAUUUAUUUAUACCUUUAAUAGACUGUGACAGAAGAAUCCAGGUACUUAAAUUAAAAGAUGUAGGGGGAUGGUGGGGAAGGAGGAUUCUUCUAAAGUUCAACUAAAUCAUUCAAAUUAAAAAAUGUCCUUAAUGAUUUAAUUGGUUAGUAGUCACCCUGUGUAUACAACAUAAAUCCUUGAAAUGAUUAACAGAAGGGAAAGAUGGGUGGCAGCCCAUAACAGUCUCCUUAUUUAGAAAGCAUUUGGGGGCAGGUUUUAUAAUGCAGUCUUAAAAUAGCCGCUAACCAGAUUCUGAUUUCAGGAGCUGUAAGAAUGUGGAGGCCUUAGCCACAUCACCUGAGUGGUAAUUAGCAUUAAACGACACAGCAACCAUUUCUCAUUUCACACUUUAUAGGCC
rnacentral:lncRNA from 1 species